GUAACAAGGUUUCCGUAGGUGAACCUGCGGAAGGAUCAUUACCAAAGAACGUCCCGAGCGGGGGGUUGGCGGCUUUCGGUCGUCGGCUCCUCGACCAAAACAAACCAUUCUGCGUACCUUUCCCUGUUGCUUCCCCGCGUUCCCAGAGGACGCGGGGGAGGUCCAACCACAGAAACCCUUUUCGAGCAAACCGAAGUCUGAGACGCGGAAACGUGACCGCAGUUAAAUGGAAUAACGCAAAACUUUCAACAACGGAUCUCUUGGUUCCCACAUCGAUGAAGAACGCAGCGAAAUGCGAUAAGUAAUGUGAAUUGCAGAAUUCAGUGAAUCAUCGAAUCUUUGAACGCACAUUGCGCCUUCUGGUAUUCCGGAGGGCAUGCCUGUCCGAGUGUCGUCGAAACACCAUCCUCCGGGCCUCUGUCACGGCGGAGAGUCUUAGGGGGGUUUUCUGGCCGUCAGGCUGUUGCGGGUCCGCCUCCCGGCGGUCCGGGUCAGUCCGGCUCAAAUGGCAGGUCUGUAGGUUGGAGCGUGCUGCCAGUCGACGUAAUGGUUAAAGUCAUCGACCGUCGUCGCAGCCUCCGGGGCCUCGGGACCUUUAAAACGAUGCAAGCACCUCUUGACCUCGGAUCAGGUAGGGAUACCCGCUGAACUUAAGCAUAUCAAUAAGCGGAGGAAAAGAAACCAACAGGGAUUGCCUCAGUAACGGCGAGUAAACUUAAGCAUAUCAAUAAGCGGAGGAAAAGAACCAACAGGGAUUGCCUCAGUAACGGCGAGUGAAGCGGCAACAGCUCAAAUUUUAAAGCUGGUAGUCUUCAGACGCCCGCGUUGUAAUUUGGAGAGGCAUCUUCGGUUCGGGCGCUGGUCUAUGUUCCUUGGAACUGGACGUCGCAGAGGGUGAGAAUCCCGUGCUUGGCCAGCUGACCCCUUCCACGUGAAGCGCCUUCGACGAGUCGAGUUGUUUGGGAAUGCAGCUCAAAAUGGGUGGUAAAUUUCAUCUAAAGCUAAAUAUUGGUGGGAGACCGAUAGCGCACAAGUAGAGUGAUCGAAAGAUGAAAAGCACUUUGAAAAUAGAGUAAAACAGUACGUGAAAUUGUUGAAAGGGAAGCGCUUGAGGCCAGACUCGUGCGGGGACGAUCAGCCACCCUUCUGGGCGGUGCACUCGUCUUCGUUCGGGCCAGCAUCGGUCGGGACGGCGGGACAAAGGCUUCGGGAACGUGGCUCCUCUCGGGGAGUGUUACAGCCCGUCGUGCAAUGCCGUCAGCCCCGACCGAGGACCGCGCUUCGGCUAGGAUGCUGGCGUAAUGACCUUCAGCGACCCGUCUUGAAACACGGACCAAGGAGUCUAACAUCUAUGCGAGUGUUUGGGUGUCAAACCCUUGCGCGGAAUGAAAGUGAACGGAGGUGGGAACCCCUCGGGGCGCACCAUCGACCGGUCCUGAUGUCUUCGGAUGGAUCUGAGUAGGAGCAUAGCUGUUGGGACCCGAAAGAUGGUGAACUAUGCCUGAAUAGGGUGAAGCCAGAGGAAACUCUGGUGGAGGCUCGCAGCGGUUCUGACGUGCAAAUCGAUCGUCGAAUUGGGUAUAGGGGCUAAAGACUAAUCGAACCAUCUAGUAGCUGGUUCCUG
rnacentral:rRNA from 1 species